rnacentral:rRNA from 1 species
CAUGCAAGUCGAACGGUAACAGGAAUUAGCUUGCUAAUUUGCUGACGAGUGGCGGACGGGUGAGUAAUGCUUGGGAAUCUGGCUUAUGGAGGGGGAUAACUACGGGAAACUGUAGCUAAUACCGCGUAAAAUCUUCGGAUUAAAGGGUGGGACUUUCGAGCCACCUGCCAUAAGAUGAGCCCAAGUGGGAUUAGGUAGUUGGUUAGGUAAAGGCUGACCAAGCCGACGAUCUCUAGCUGGUCUGAGAGGAUGACCAGCCACACUGGAACUGAGACACGGUCCAGACUCCUACGGGAGGCAGCAGUGGGGAAUAUUGCACAAUGGGGGGAACCCUGAUGCAGCCAUGCCGCGUGAAUGAAGAAGGCCUUCGGGUUGUAAAGUUCUUUCGGUGACGAGGAAGGUUGAUAGGUUAAUAGCCUAUCAAAUUGACGUUAAUCACAGAAGAAGCACCGGCUAACUCCGUGCCAGCAGCCGCGGU